CACCUUCUUCUGCGUUUACAUUCCCACCAAACCCAUCAAACACACCAUCAUCAUCACCUGGGGUGAAGUCAACGUGCCCAACAGCCCCUUCAGGGUGACCAUCGGGGAGGGGAGCCACCCGGAGAACGUGAAGGUUUACGGUCCAGGUGUGGAGAAGACGGGGCUGAAGGCCAACGAGCCCACGUACUUCACGGUGGACUGCAGCGAGGCCGGACAGGGCGACGUCAGUAUCGGGAUCAAGUGCGCCCCCGGCGUGGUCGGACCGGCCGAGGCCGACAUCGACUUCGACAUCAUCAAAAACGACAACGACACCUUCACGGUGAAGUACACGCCUCCGGGUCCGGGUCAGUACACCAUCAUGGUGCUGUUCGCCGACCAGGUGAGCCGGCCCGCCGCUCAGCGGCCAAUCGGAGCCACUUCUGCUCAGCGAGACGCUUAACCAGCUCUUAUUGUGAAAAACACACAGGAGAUCCCCAUCAGCCCCUUCAGAAUAAAAGUGGAUCCGUCGCACGAUGCAGCCAAAGUCCGGGCAGAGGGACCCGGACUGAGCAGGACCGGCGUGGAGGUGGGCAAGCCCACUCACUUCACCAUCUUCACCAAAGGAGCCGGGAAGGCCAAGCCAGAGGUGCAGUUCACCGCAGCCGCCAAAGGGGACGCCGUCAGAGACUUCGAGAUCAUCGACAACCACAACUACUCGUACACCGUGCGCUACACCGCCGUGCAGCAGGUAACACCACUGACACACC
rnacentral:lncRNA from 1 species